UACGUAGGUGGCGAGCGUUGUCCGGAUUUACUGGGCGUAAAGAGCGCGCAGGCGGUCGUUCAAGUCGCGUGUGAAAGCCCCCGGCUCAACUGGGGAGGGUCACGCGAUACUGAUCGACUCGAAGGCAGGAGAGGGUAGUGGAAUUCCCGGUGUGGUGGUGAAAUGCGUAGAUAUCGGGAGGAACACCAGUGGCGAAGGCGACUACCUGGCCUGUUCUUGACGCUGAGGCGCGAAAGCUAGGGGAGCAAACGGG
rnacentral:rRNA from 1 species